GAUGUUUGGGAACCUGUGGCCGAAGGUAUCACAGCAGAAGAUGUAGAUGCAGCUACCACGAAUAAAGAUCAAAAGGCACUAUCUUUCAUAUAUCAAAGGUUAGAUGAAAAGAUGUUUGAGAAGGUUGCUAGAGCAACCACCUCCAAGGAAGCGUGAUAAAGUGAAAAAGUCAUGUCACCAAACAUUAAGAAGAGAAUUCGAAUCCCAACAAAUGAAGGAAUACGAAUAUGUUUCGAAUUAUAUUUCAAGAGUUUUAGCUAUUGUCAACCAAAUGAGAAGAUAUGGGGAUGACAUGGAGAAUGAUUGGGUCAUUGGAAAAAUUCUAAAAUUCUUAGAUCCACGAUUCAAUUGUAUUGUCAAUGCCAUUGAAAGGUCAAAGGAUUUGGACACCAUGACCAUUGAGAAGCUUGUCGAGCAUUUGCAAGCUCAUGAAAAAUGAUUGAAGAAACCGAAGCAAGAAUUAGUAGAGCAACCUUUGCAAGUAAAGCUUUUACUGAAAGAGAUUGAGGAAAGAAGUGGCAUGUCCUAAAGAGGUCGAGGACGUGGAAGAAGUCAUGGUCAUGGAAGAGUCAGAUGAGGCAACAACCAACCUUCAAAUAAAAAUGAGAAAAGCUAAAAUUUCAAUCGUGAAAAAGGCCAUGGAUGAGGCAAAGGAGUAAGUUUGAGACAAAAAGAAAGGUAUGACAAAGCACAUGUUGAAUGUUAUCUUGUCAAAUAUGAUCAUUAAUCUUGGGAAUGCGAAAAUAACGAGGAAGAGAAAACUAACUUUGUGGAGAGCAAGAAUGAAGAUGGAGAUCCUACUUUGCUUCUCACUUGCAAAAGUGAUGCAAAUGAAAAGAAUAA
rnacentral:lncRNA from 1 species